rnacentral:lncRNA from 12 species
CUCGUAGGGCCGACCUGUGGCCCAAAGGCCCUCUGGCCACCCACGUGGGCCGGGCUGCCACUUCCCGGUCUGGUGGGGCUGAAAGGAUGUCAUUUCCACCAGUCUCUACUUUGCAACCCAGGGUCGUCCUUUGAUUAGUGACCAGAGCUGAGGAAACUGAGGCCGAAGGAGGGGCCCAGCUAGGCCCAGUGAAGCUUUUUUCCGGGAGGCGCCAGGUUCCCCCGUGGAGCCCGAAGAGCUGCGUGGAAAUGAGCUGACCAAUCUCCUGUGUUUUUCCUGUCCAUGUGGCAGAAAACACCUACUUACUGAGCCCAACCUUUACCUGUGUCAGUCCGGGCACCCACCAGAGACUGGUCCCCCUUUUUCAGGGAGAAGAUUCCUCUUAUGUUUGUAGGGACAAGGUCCUAUUCUACUAACGUGAGUUAUCAUUAAAUAGUCAGGUGGCUGGUAUAGAAAAGGGGUCCAGGGAAGAGAAUCCCAUGGUGAGAUUUUAUGUUGCUUCCAAAUAACUGCUACUGUAGUAAUGUCAUAUAUUAGUAUAUAAACUUUUCCUUAUUUUGAAUUAUUUU